rnacentral:lncRNA from 1 species
AUGUAUAGAAACUCAUCCUUGAUAAGUUUCUUGAUAGGUGCGCAUGGACUCUUAGCCCUAUAUCAUGUCGGAUACAGGAGAGGAGAGAUCCCAGAGGCAUCCAGGAAAACAAUGGCAUCUUACAGGAUCAAAGCAGUUGUCCAGGACCAUCAGGUUCUAGGCAGGGACUUCUUCCUCUGGGACCUAAAAAGAAGGCAAUGUGGAGUAGAGAACUGGCAUCAUAACUACAAAACAAAUCUUUGCUGAAAUCCAUUGAGAUUUUGAGAUGAUUAUUACAGCAUAACUUAGUCCAUGCUGGCUAACUGGUGUGGUUGUUAUUUCAGCAGAUGAGGAUGAGGUAGAAUUGUAAUAGGAGGAAAGAUUGGAGCCAUUGUAUAUCAGGUUGGAUUUUAAUUUCAUGUGUGGAAAGUUUAGCAGGAGUGAGAAAGGAAAUUACUGUUGAGAGCAGAGAUGAAGGGACAGAUGCAGAAAGCAUGGAAACCAGUUAGACUAUGAUUAUAUAGUCCCAAUGAGAGAAACAAGAACCUGAACAUGGGCAGGCACAAUAAGUGAAAAGUUAGAGGCUUAUGCAAGAGUGAUUGGGAAAGAAUAAAAUUAUUAGCCAUGAAAAUGUACUUGAUGUGGCCAAUGAUAAAUUGACUCAAGGAUGACAUCAAGAUUUUGAAAGUGAUUAUCUUAAAAAAUGAUGUCAGAAAACAACAUAUUUUGGAAUGGAUAUGACACAUUCCUUCUGGAGCCAUUGAGCUUGAGAUACAGAUGGGCCAUCUAGGGAGAGAUAUUGAGAGAGAGUUGGCUGUGAGGGCCUGGAAAAUGUGAAUCUUAGUUUGAUUCACAUAUAUGGGCAUCAUCUGCAUGUAGGUACAAUUUAGACAAUAUUAUUUAGGGAGAAUGACAGAAAAGGAAAGAGAAGGACAAAGAAAAAGAAGUAAGAGUUUGGGCAAAGAAUGAACCUGAUGGUAGAAAUGUCAGGCAUUUCCAGUGGAGAUGCCACAGCUGGCUGGUAAAGAGCAGAUGUAAUCAUGAGUAUAAGCAGGCAAAUUAAUGCCUCUUCCUUGGUUACCUGCAAAUAGGUGCUUAAAUGACUUUGAUAUCGCUCUGAAGCAGUUAAACCUUGGUUAAGACAAAAGUAGCGCACAAUGAUGAGGUCAGGAAUUUAUAAACACUCAUUAUAAGAGUGUAAGCUCAGAGGUUUCCACAAUACAAAAUGAAAACCAGAAUAACAUUAACAAUUAUUUGGAGGUUAAAAAACUUUAACUUAUACUUCAAAGUUUAUGGUUUUGAACUGUGUUUUUUAUGUCUUUGCUAUGCCUAUUAGUUUGAAAUGAGUUUCCUAUAUUCUUUGCUUAUCUAUUAGUUAUACUUUUAAAUAAAAAUAUGUUCUUGGUUAGAUCAUGACCUAUUAAUCUUUCUUUCUCACUUCCAUACCUCGGGGACGUUUCCCCAGAAGAUGUUUACAAUCAUAGCUGAAGGGUUGAGUUUCCUGUCUGUUUCCUCCCCUACUCUUCCAGCUUCACAGACAACAUGCCCAUGACUUUGAAGUUUUGCCAAGGACUGUUCCAUAGCUGAAACUGAUUGGUGAUUUGCUGUAUUCCCUAAGAAUAAGUUAGAAUACCACCCACUUUUCUUCCUCUGGUUUCAUACUUUAGUAUGCUAGGUGGGACAUGAUGGUAGAGAAAUGGUCACUUAGCAGUUCACCAUCAACCUGCUAGUGGCUGCAGUAAUUACAGAGGCAAUGCUUGAGAGAAGUCACAGGGAUACAUGAGAUUGCCCACGGAGAGACAGCAUCAGACAGGCUAGUGUAAAAUGUCACGCAUCUAUGUGAGUAUAAUUUGCCCCUCUUCUAAAAGCAGUACUAACCUGAGUGAUUUCUUCUGGAAUAUUAAUUUUCUUCCAUUUCCUUGCCUAAUCAAUCUGUCAGUUUGCAUUUACCUUAAGAUCCUAUGGGUUUCCUCAAACGUAAGAAUUUAGAACACAGUCUUCUUCUAGGCAUUUAUUAAAUGAUUAAAUAAGGCCAAUCAUUUGAAGAGCCACCUGUUUACACCAAAGAAGGCUGAUUCUUUAAUCUUUUAUUUCCCCUAUCUAAGCUGCCUUAUUACUGUCAGUAAAGCAUCUUCUGAUUGCAUGGUGAAUUGGAAUGUUGGAGUUUGAUUGUGGAGACUCAUGUUUCCAGGUCCUGGAUAACAACAUUCUACAUCAUCUCCUUUGUUAGAGGAGUACAACAUCCUCAUGUGCCUCAGGCUCCUUCCCUAGAGUGGCAUCCCACAUUUUGCUUUAUGUUCCUGAUCUUUCCUUUUCGUUUCUUUGAAAGUUUUAUACUCAUUGUCACAUAUUCACAUGGCAAUUCGUUAACAUUGGUGGCACACUGCUAAUUUGAUUAGCUAAUCACUGGAAUAUAUUACUGAGAGUGGCCAUCUUAAUGAGCUACUUUCUUGGUUGUGUCUUUUCUGUUAAUGGAGGCCAUUUGGAGACGUAAAAACUUAACCCAAAUAACUGUCAUUAAUAGUACUAUGUUCAGGAAAGUGGAGGAGAUAUUCUUGAGAAGCCCGUAGGCCUUCUUUUAAUUACAUCACAUUAGUGAUCAGCUCCUUUCCUGCUCCACUAUGUGUGUGUGAACAAUGAAAACUAAAUUUUGUUUUGAUGUGAGUUGAGCAGAGAUAAGUCCAUGACCCAUCAUUAAUAUUGUGGCAUUUUAAUUAAUGACUAAG